AUGCGAUACUUGGUGUGAAUUGCAGAAUCUCGUGAACCAUUGAGUCUUUGAACGCAAGUUGUGCCCGAGGCCUUGUGGUCGAGGGCACACCUGCUUGGGCGUCAUGG
rnacentral:rRNA from 1 species